rnacentral:lncRNA from 10 species
ACAGAGACAGAAACCUGCGGCAAUGGAGAAAAUGCUAAUACAGACAUCUUACUUCAGUGUCUGGCAAACAAGAUUAUAGACUGAGGACGAUGUAGACGUCAGCUUCCCUGACGAGGGAAGCUGCAGCUUUCUGAUGAUUCCUGAAGCCUACAUUCUAUUAAUUUCCCCGAAGAGCCCUAUUGCCUAAUGGAACAUUGUGAGAAUGGCCAGUCUGGAAAGCAGGAUCAGUGGAGCUGGCUUCUGGCUCACUGGCUUUCAGCUGAGCCUUCCAAAUGGCUGGGAAUGAACAUCCAGUUAGAAGCCUCGGUUUGGAACAGUGGUUCUCAGACUUCAU